CCCUAUUAUUCUUGGUGUAAAAUUGGCAUGGGUAGUAUUAGUUAUUUUCUUAAAACUCAAAGGAUUUGGCGGUAUCUUAAUCCUCUCAGAGGAGCCUGCCCCGUAAUCGAUGGUCCACGUUGUUGGUUUCUUUUUUUUGUUAAGCAGUUUGUAUAUCGCCGUUGUUCAGAGGAUUUUUAAAAAUAGGUAAUUUUCUAUAAUUUUUAUUAGAAUAUAAGGCAGGUCAAGGUGCAGUUUAUGAAAGAGAGAGAGGUGGGCUACAAUAUAAUUUAUGUAAAACGGAUUAUUUGUUUAAAUGUUAAUAAGAAGGUGGAUUUGAAUGUAAUUUUUAUGGGUAGGGGUGAAUAUGGCUCUAGGAUAUGCACAUAUC
rnacentral:rRNA from 1 species